AUUUUGUGAUUCUUUCCUUUAUUUUCAAGAUCUUCUCUGUAUUAUAUUUUACUUGGAGGAUUUUUCCUUGCUGUCUUCAGAUCUCCCUGACUUUGAGUUCCGCUCCCAUCACCAGGAUGCUGCUGAUCUGCUCUCUGCUCUACCCAGCAGCUUGGCUCAGUGGUGGGAGUUCCAGGGGCUGCCUUCACUGUUUCCUUCAAUUAUGUUCUCCAAAGAGUCAUACCUCUCCCAGAGUCUCAGCUAUUCUUCGAGUCCAGCUGCUGAGGAUCUGGAUCCAGAAGCGGAAGGGAAAAAGAAAUGGCUGA
rnacentral:lncRNA from 1 species